GAUCUUUAUCUCACGUCUUGACGUGUCAUAAGGGACAGUGAGGGAAGUUUCCGAUCUUAAAAUGUCUUUAGUUUGAAACAGGCGACGUGAAUUACAUUUAGGAAUAUGUUUUGGUAGAAGUCAUGUCCCUGCUGCAGUGUGUCGGCGGGUCAACAUGCAGUGGAAAAGACACGUCACUGGUCUCGUUUUUAGUAUUGUUUUCGUUGUAUCAUAUUUCACGAACAAGUUUGUCCUGUCAGUGUUAAAAUUCACCUAUCCAACCUUAUUUCAAGGAUGGCAAACAUUUAUCGGGGCAGUCCUGCUUCUACUCUCUGGAAAGUUUGGCUGGGUGGAAAUGAGCCGCAUCACCAGGUCAGCAGCGUUUUCCUGGCUUCCAGGUUCCCUCCUGUUUGUGGGAAACAUAUAUGCAGGUUCCAGGGCUUUAUCACGCAUUGACAUUCCUAUUUUCUUCACUCUUCAGAAUUCCUCCUAUGUUGUUAGUUACAUAAUCUUGAAGGUUGUCUAUAGAAAGAAGACACGAUGGCUGAAAGUAAUCAGCAUAUGCUUAAUGCUGCUCUCAGCCAUCAACCUCCCCCUCCAUGAUCCUCAGUUUGACUACAGUGGUUACCUUUGGGCUCUUGGUCAUCUGCUCUGCGUUGGUGCAUACAGAGCGUUUCAAGUUCACUACAAAUCAAGUAAUUUGAGUGACCUUGAACAACAGUGCAUCAACUACUUGUUCAGUGUACUGCUGCUGGCCAUGGCCGCUCACCCAACAGGUGACCUCAUGGGCGCCAUGGAGUUCCCUUCCCUUCAGUCCUACACGUUUCACUGUGGUUGCUGUGCCAGCAUGAUGCCUAACCUCAGUCUGAUUUCACAGUGCACUGCUGGGUUUUUUGUUGCUGCUGGCCACAGUCAAACUAAAAAGUGGAUUGUCCCUCGAGCACUUUGGGGUCUGGAUUUUUAUGUCUAAGAUUACUGCCAUGUCCCUCUCUCCAUUUCUUUUCUCCAUGGACAUUAACACUCCAUCUCUUAUUUGUGUGGUCAUCAGUCAUGUUGGAGAGGCCCUGCUGGUGUAUUCUCACAGAGACUCUCAGGUAUGAUGAGGAAAUUGCAGCUCUCUGGAUUAACCCCCCCACCAGCAUUCCAAAAUUAAAUAUUUUCCAGAAAAUGUAUUAUUUUUUUUGCACUUUAUUUUUGUAAUUUCUCAUCUAUGCGAUGGC